ensembl:lncRNA
CUUGGGGCUGGGCUCUGUGGCUACUGAGAUGGGUCGGGAGGGGUCUCCGGCACGUCAGAGAUAUCACACCUGCUCACCGUGGCCUAUACGUUUCACGCUGCCUUCAUUCUGCCUUGUCUUCAGCCUUUCGAACACCAAGAAACUCCUUGAGGAAAUGGAGGUGGGAGGAGACCAGGUUGGGGUAAAAUGCAAUCGUCCCGCCCAGGGAUCAAACCAUUGUCUCCUAGAGCUCCUGCAUUGGCAGGUGGAUUCUUUACCACUGGGCCACCUGGGAAGCCCCAAAGCAAUUCAUACCUCUGCAAGAAAUGGGAAGAAACACUGUCUACUGAAAAAGAGAGGUCCAGAUACCAACGAACUACAAACAGCUCAUGAAUUUUCGUCAUGGCGACCUUUCGGGCCAAUCAGUGAGGAACAGGAAGUGGAUGGGAUUGGACCCAGGCUAUAUCUGAGCCACAGCUCUCCCCGCCCUCUCUCUCUGGUGCUUCUAGGAUCUGUGUGGUUUCCUACUGGAUGACGACUUCGACUAGAUUAAAUCCCACUCUCAACUUCCACUCAUGGAAGAAACUGCUGGAACCUCAGUGCCAAUUUUUUAUGAAAUUGCCAUGUGAAUUUGUUGAGUCCAGAAGGUGUGUUCUCAGUAAUGCCUCAAGGCUGUCCACCAACUGAAUUAAUACAGCAUCUCAGCACCAAGUUCAGCCUGCCAUCUCCUCCUCGUAGCAAGAUCAGCCUAGGCUGGAACCCUCAGGGAAAGCCUCCCCAGAGCACCACAGCUUAGAGGGAGGGGAAAGGAAACAUUUCUGGAAAUGAGAGUGACAGGAGCAGAGUUAGAGGGAUGUAGGUGAUGACAGGUGAUGAUGUGGUGAGGAUGGUGAGGACGACUAACGCUCAUUGAGAGUCUACCAUACUCACUCCCAGAGCUGUUUAACUCUUUCCAAGUGUAAGUUCAUUUGUCUCUGAC